CAAUGGUGGCCGAGGGUGGGGAAGGUGAGGGCACAGCCACCCUGGCUGAUGCCCUUGGACCGAAGAGGUGGAGGAAGAACCCUUCUCUCUCAUCCACCCCUUCUUUUGGUCUCUUCACCGGGACCGAAUAUCGUCGCGGCGUGGCUGCGGCUAUGGCCGGCGACGACGUAGGCUGGUGGUACAAGGUGGGAGUCGGGCUAUCCCGACUGCCCUAGAUUUGGAGGGAUUGAGAUGUUUGGGGACCUGGUGAUGGACCCCAUAGUAGAUGUGAAUUAUGGUUUAGAAUAUUUAAAUAUUAAAUGAUUUAGUUUGUGAUUUGUAAUUGAUGUUGUAGAGGAAGAGUCGGCGGAGCCAGGAGGUUUUGAUCAGGGGACUCAGCACCCCAGCGCGUAGGUUGUGAUUCGGACUGUGUUUGAGUCAGUCUACAAUUUCUGUAAGAAUCC
rnacentral:lncRNA from 1 species